rnacentral:rRNA from 1 species
AGUCGAGCGGAUGACAGGAGCUUGCUCCUGAAUUCAGCGGCGGACGGGUGAGUAAUGCCUAGGAAUCUGCCUGGUAGUGGGGGACAACGUUUCGAAAGGGACGCUAAUACCGCAUACGUCCUACGGGAGAAAGCAGGGGACCUUCGGGCCUUGCGCUAUCAGAUGAGCCUAGGUCGGAUUAGCUAGUUGGUGAGGUAAUGGCUCACCAAGGCGACGAUCCGUAACUGGUCUGAGAGGAUGAUCAGUCACACUGGAACUGAGACACGGUCCAGACUCCUACGGGAGGCAGCAGUGGGGAAUAUUGGACAAUGGGCGAAAGCCUGAUCCAGCCAUGCCGCGUGUGUGAAGAAGGUCUUCGGAUUGUAAAGCACUUUAAGUUGGGAGGAAGGGUUGUAGAUUAAUACUCUGCAAUUUUGACGUUACCGACAGAAUAAGCACCGGCUAACUCUGUGCCAGCAGCCGCGGUAAU